rnacentral:lncRNA from 1 species
AUGUUAUAAGAUGGCGUCCAUCACAAUGUUCAGUUGAUCCAAUAGAAGAAAUUAUACUAGAUAAUAAUGAUCCUAAGCAUGUUACUGAAAAGCUGUCAGAGUUAAGUGGAGUACCUGCUGAGUAUAUCUAUUGUGCAAAGUAUGGAUUAUUUCCAGUUGAAAUAUCAUGCCUUGAUAUUGAGUAUAAGUUGAAAUGGUGUUCCAUCACUUCAGAUAGAUACUCAUUAGGACUAUUUUAUGAUGAUGGAUGUGUCAUAUAUUACAGAGACAAUAGAGAGACAAUGAAAGAGUUAACAGAUAAAGAG